UCUAAGUUGGUGGUAAACUCCAUCUAAGGCUAAAUAUGACCACGAGACCGAUAGCGAACAAGUACCGUGAGGGAAAGUUGAAAAGAACUUUSAAGAGAGAGUUCAAGAGUACGUGAAACCRUUCAGGGGUAAACCUGAGAAACCCAAAAGAUCGAAUGGGGAGAUUCAUCGCCAGCGGAGUUGGCUUCCGUGCGGUUCGCGAUGUCCGGGGCCUCGGUCCCGCGGCACGCAGCCGCUGCGGCAUGUCCGGCUUCGUCGGUGUGCACUUCUCCCCUAGUAGGACGUCGCGACCCGUUGGGUGUCGGCCUACGGCCCGGUUGGUCGACUGUCGAGCGAGCGUUCGCGCGCUUCGCCUCGGCAGACCAUCGGUCGCCCGGCCGGCUGCCCGGCGGUAUAGAACGCAUAACAAUGGUAUUGAGCCGCACACUCGUGUGCGUCCCGGCUCGUCGGCAGGCUCGCCUCGCUCGGAUUUACGGACCUAGCGCCGUUGCCGGRUGCUUGGCGCGGCCGUUAGUCGACGAUGUCCUCGGACCGGCUCUCUCGUUUCGACGAAUACCAGUCGGCGACGCUACUGCUUUGGGUACUUUCAGGA
rnacentral:rRNA from 1 species